rnacentral:lncRNA from 1 species
UUUUUACUAAGGUCAGCUCUCCUGGAUCUCAGACUGAGUGCCUGAUUGAGAAUGGAAAGUAAACAUUUCUCUUUAUCCCUCCCUUUCUAAAUUCAGGGACAGCUUUUUCUUUCUUGUUUGUCUCAUUUUGUGUCCUGAGAGUUUGGCGUUGUGACCAGUGAGAACACACUCUGAUUUCUACCAGGCCUUUGAUUACUUAAGAAAAGUGAGUCUUCUUAAUGUUAAAAGAGCUUGGCCAUUGACAUUAAGACUGCCUUCUUCCUGAAGCCCCACAAACUGAAGCUAAGUGACUGAUAUAGACUUCCAUAAUACCCUUUUGUCCAAUCAUGUUUCUACAUGGCUGUGCAUUCUUCAUCAAACUUAAGCCUAAAAAUAGAAAGUUUUCUCUGGGUUUUGGAUUUUCAUUUUUUGGGGCUCCCAUGUCACAUAAAACUUUGAGUAAAAUAAUUUGUUAUGCUUUUCUCUUUUUAACUGUUUUAAAGCAUGAACCAGCCUGCCUGGCUGGUGUUUCUCUUUAGUCCUUUUUGCCUUUCUUUUC